GGCUUCAGAAGAUUUGGGUAUAGUGCACGAGUCAGAUGGAUCUCUUUUAUUAUGCUUUAUGUAAUUUUGGAGUUUGACCGCACCAGUCCUCAUUCACUUUCAUUUUAUUGAAAAAAUAACCACCAGAAUGUUCUUAACAGCAAACAGGUUUUGUUCAUUAAUUGGGAGAAAAGUCAAAAUAUUCAUUUUUGGGUUUUAAAAGAAGAUAGCAGAAAGGAAAAGGACGCAAAUAAACCACGCAAAAGAGAAGAAGCGUGGGCGCUGUAAACCGCUCAUAAAUGUUUCUACCUUUUCCUCGCUUCUCCACCAUUUCACAGCUGAGCAGGAUUGUGUCCCAGCUCGCCUUUCUGCAAGUCACCUGGCUAGUUCUGUUGUUUCCCUCCUUUUACUCGCAUCGACAAACCUUAACGACGCAUGGUAUCCCAUCCCCAACCCAUCGGUGCAGCAGCCACGCAUGGUACGGACCUGCUUUUUAUCAUAAAAUGUCUGUCUCACCCCCCGCGUUCAGUAUGUGCAAGGCGAGGUGGAGACAGAGAGGAGAGAGGGUGCGGCGGAGCACUGCAGUGCAGAUAAAUGAAUGCACCACUGGUGGCUGAGUCAGCAGCCCACUCCCAGUUUGGCCCACCGCCUGCACCAACUGUGUCUGAGGAGGAACAACAUGCAUGCAGUCAACACACACAGUCAAUAUGUCUCCUGCCUGAUCGAAGACGCACCGAACGAUUUGCUUUCGGUGUUUUGCUGGCCAAAUUACAAAUGUGCAUUUUAGUUCGCAGUCGAUCUGUUAUUCCGUCAGGAGCAGUCUGGAUAACUACAAACCAACUGCUGUGAUUUAUGCUCUGGCGCCUUCAGACUCUACCUAUAAAGAGAGUCCAGUGAAGCAAUGAAGGGUGUUAUAUCACUCUCAAGUCAUCCACCAAUCGCAGAAGCCACGGCGGUUCUCAACUCCACCACCUGAGCAGCAUCAAAACGGCGCUGGAACUACAAACAUCAUGGAGAAACAACGCAAAGGUGCUGCUGGAUGUUGUGGGUAUUGUAGGCAUUUUGAAUGGCUAUAGUGCUUAAUUUACGUCACACUCAGUGUGUUCUUGAAAUUUCCAAAUAAUUACAUAAAUUAAUGAAUGACAUGCUACAGGCUGCAAGAUUGAAUCAUUUAUUCCUCUUAAGUCGUAUUUAG
ensembl:lncRNA